GGGGGUGUAACUCAGCGGUAGAGUGUCCGCUUCGCAUGCGGAGGGAAGUCCUGGGUUCAAAUCCCAGCUCCUCCA